rnacentral:misc_RNA from 1 species
UCUCCGUAGGUGAGCCUGCGGAGGGAUCAUUACUGAGUGAGGGCUUCGGUCCGACCUCCAACCCUUUGUGAACCAAACUUGUUGCUUCGGGGGCGACCCUGCCGUUCCGGCACCGGCGCCCCCGGAGGCUCAUCAAACACUGCAUCUCUGCGUCGGAGUCUUAAUGAAUUUAAACAAAACUUUUAACAACGGAUCUCUUGGUUCUGGCAUCGAUGAAGAACGCAGC